rnacentral:rRNA from 1 species
AUAGAUUAAGUUAUUAAGGGCGCACGGUGGAUGCCUUGGCACUAGAAGCCGAUGAAGGACGUUACUAACGACGAUAUGCUUUGGGGAGCUGUAAGUAAGCUUUGAUCCAGAGAUUUCCGAAUGGGGAAACCCAACAUGAGUUAUGUCAUGUUAUCGAUAUGUGAAUACAUAGCAUAUCAGAAGGCACACCCGGAGAACUGAAACAUCUUAGUACCCGGAGGAAGAGAAAGAAAAUUCGAUUCCCUUAGUAGCGGCGAGCGAAACGGGAAGAGCCCAAACCAACAAGCUUGCUUGUUGGGGUUGUAGGACACUCUAUACGGAGUUACAAAGGACG